rnacentral:rRNA from 1 species
CAAUAGCGUAUAUUAAAGUUGUUGCAGUUAAAAAGCUCGUAGUUGGAUUUGUGGCGUACGGUGUGUUCCGGGCACUUGUUGUCUGAGUAACCUGCUGUUGCCAUCCUUGGGUGGAACCUGUGUGGCAUUAGGUUGUCGUGCAGGGGAUGCCCAUCAUUUACUGUGAAAAAAUUAGAGUGUUCAAAGCAGGCUUAUGCCGUUGAAUAUAUUAGCAUGGAAUAAUGAGAUAGGACUUUUUUGCUAUUUUGUUGGUUUGCGCAAAGAGGUAAUGAUUAAUAGGGACAGUUUGGGGUAUUCGUAUUCCAUUGUCAGAGGUGAAAUUCUUGGAUUUUUGGAAGACGAACUACUGCGAAAGCAUUUACCAAGGAUGUUUUCAUUAA